GACGAACGCUGGCGGCGUGGAUUAGGCAUGCAAGUCGAACGGUAUCAUCCUUUCGGGGGUGAGAGAGUGGCGAACUGGUGAGUAACACGUAGGUUAUCUACCCUCAAGACGGGGACAACCCAGGGAAACUUGGGCUAAUACCGGAUGUGAGCAACUUUUAGUUGUUUGAAAGGUGGCGUAAGCUGUCGCUUGGGGAUGAGCCUGCGUCCUAUUAGUUAGUUGGUGAGGUAACGGCUCACCUAGGCAAUGAUAGGUAGGCGGCCUUAACGGGUGGUCGCCCACACUGGGAUUGAGAUACGGCCCAGACUCCUACGGGAGGCAGCAGUCGAGAAUAGUCUACAAUGGUCGGAAGACUGAUAGUGCGACGCCGCGUGAACGAUGAAUCCCUUCGGGGUGUAAAGUUCUUUUAUAUGUGAGCAGUGCUUCUUAUAUUAACAGUAUGGGGAGAGAGAUAUUAGCAUAUGAAUAAGCAACGGCUAACUCCGUGCCAGCAGCCGGGUAAU
rnacentral:rRNA from 1 species